rnacentral:rRNA from 1 species
CGGCGUGCCUAAUACAUGCAAGUCGUACGCUAGCCGCUGAAUUGAUCCUUCGGGUGAAGUGAGGCAAUGACUAGAGUGGCGAACUGGUGAGUAACACGUAAGAAACCUGCCCUUUAGUGGGGGAUAACAUUUGGAAACAGAUGCUAAUACCGCGUAACAACAAAUCACACAUGUGAUCUGUUUGAAAGGUCCUUUUGGAUCGCUAGAGGAUGGUCUUGCGGCGUAUUAGCUUGUUGGUAGGGUAGAAGCCUACCAAGGCAAUGAUGCGUAGCCGAGUUGAGAGACUGGCCGGCCACAUUGGGACUGAGACACUGCCCAAACUCCUACGGGAGGCUGCAGUAGGGAAUUUUCCGCAAUGCACGAAAGUGUGACGGAGCGACGCCGCGUGUGUGAUGAAGGCUUUCGGGUCGUAAAGCACUGUUGUAAGGGAAGAAUAACUGAAUUCAGAGAAAGUUUUCAGCUUGACGGUACCUUACCAGAAAGGGAUGGCUAAAUACGUGCCAGCAGCCGCGGUAAUACGUAUGUCCCGAGCGUUAUCCGGAUUUAUUGGGCGUAAAGCGAGCGCAGACGGUUUAUUAAGUCUGAUGUGAAAUCCCGAGGCCCAACCUCGGAACUGCAUUGGAAACUG